rnacentral:rRNA from 1 species
UACGUAGGUGACAAGCGUUGUCCGGAUUUACUGGGCGUAAAGAGCGCGCAGGCGGUCGUUCAAGUCGAGUGUGAAAGCCCCCGGCUCAACUGGGGAGGGUCACUCGAUACUGAUCGACUCGAAGGCAGGAGAGGGUAGUGGAAUUCCCGGUGUAGUGGUGAAAUGCGUAGAUAUCGGGAGGAACACCAGUGGCGAAGGCGACUACCUGCCUGUUCUUGACGCCUGAGGCGCGA